CACUGCUUGCAGUGAUUGAUUAGUGGCGAACGGGUGAGUAACACGUGAGGAACUUGCCCAUGAGCGGGGGACAACAUUCGGAAACGGAUGCUAAUACCCCAUAGGUGGAUUGGUCGCAUGACGAAUUCAUUAAAGGUGGCUUUGCUACCACUCAUGGAUAGCCUCGCGGCGUAUUAGCUAGUUGGUAAGGUAAUGGCUUACCAAGGCAGUGAUACGUAGCCGACUUGAGAGGGUGAUCGGCCACACUGGGACUGAGACACGGCCCAGACUCCUACGGGAGGCAGCAGUAGGGAAUCUUCCACAAUGGGUGCAAACCUGAUGGAGCAAUGCCGCGUGAGUGAAGAAGGUCUUCGGAUCGUAAAGCUCUGUUGUUAGAGAAGAACACGUGCUAGGUAACUACUAGCGCCUUGACGGUAUCUAACCAGAAAGUCACGGCUAACUACGUGCCAGCAGCCGCGGUAAUACGUAGGUGACAAGCGUUGUCCGGAUUUAUUGGGCGUAAAGGGAGCGCAGGCGGUCUGUUUAGUCUAAUGUGAAAGCCCACGGCUUAACCGUGGAACGGCAUUGGAAACUGACAGACUUGAAUGUAGAAGAGGAAAAUGGAAUUCCAAGUGUAGCGGUGGAAUGCGUAGAUAUUUGGAGGAACACCAGUGGCGAAGGCGAUUUUCUGGUCUAACAUUGACGCUGAGGCUCGAAAGCGUGGGGAGCGAA
rnacentral:rRNA from 1 species